ensembl:lncRNA
GUGUGCAGAGACACUGAGGUGGGGUGGAUCCAUGGAGGAGGCGUGCAGAGACACUGAGGUGGGUGGAUCCAUGGAGGAGGCAGAGACACUGAGGUGGGGUGGAUCCAUGGAGGAGGCAGAGACACUGAGGUGGUGUGGAUCCAUGGAGGAGGCAGAGACACUGAGGUGGGGUGGAUCCAUGGAGGAGGCAGAGACACUGAGGUGGGGUGGAUCCAUGGAGGAGGCAGAGACACUGAGGUGGGGUGAAUCCAUGGAGGAGGCAGAGACACUGAGGUGGGGUGGAUCCAUGGAGGAGGCAGAGACACUGAGGUGGUGUGGAUCCAUGGAGGAGGCAGAGACACUGAGGUGGGGUGGAUCCAUGGAGGAGGCAGAGACACUGAGGUGGGGUGGAUCCAUGGAGGAGGCAGAGACACUGAGGUGGGAUGGAUCCAUGGAGGAGGCAGAGACACUGAGGUGGAUCCAUGGAGGAGGCAGAGACACCGAGGUGGGGUGGAUCCAUGGAGGAGGCGUGCAGAGACACUGAGGUGGGUGGAUCCAUGGAGGAGGCGUGCAGAGACACUGAGGUGGGGUGGAUCCAUGGAGGAGGCAGAGACACCGAGGUGGGGUGGAUCCAUGGAGGAGGCAGAGACACUGAGGUGGAUCCAUGGAGGAGGCAGAGACACCGAGGUGGGGUGGAUCCAUGGAGGAGGCGUGCAGAG